rnacentral:lncRNA from 1 species
UUAAUUCAAAGUACAUAAUAUAAUAUAAUUAUCGUAAUAAACUUAUUUAUAUUUAUUUAAAUAAGUCGGCCUGACAGGCUCAAAAGGUCUUUUUAAUGGCCCGAGGCCUAGCCUUUUUAGCUAAAUAGGCUUAUAAAAAUCCUAGGCCUUUUAUAUUUAAAAAAAAAGCUUGGCCUAGUCUGGGCCUAUGUAUGAUAGGCCGGAGGCCCCUAUUAGUUGGU